AACGAACGCUGGCGGCGUGCCUAACACAUGCAAGUCGAACGAGACCGUCGUGUCUAGUGGCGCACGGGUGCGUAACGCGUGGGAACCUACCCUUAGGUUCCGAAUAACUCCCCUAGGGGGGAGCUAAGACCGCAUAGUGUCUUCGGGCCAAGGAUUUAUCGCCUUUGGGUGGGCGCUGGUUGGUUUAGCUAGUUGGUAGGGUAAAAGCCUACCAAGGCGAGGAUCCUUGGCUGGUCGGAGAGGAUGAUCAGCCACACUGGAAAUGAGACCCGGCCCAGACUCCUAGGGAAGGGAGCAGUGGGGAAUAUUGGACACUGAGCGCAAGCCUGAUACCGCCACGCCGCGUGAGUGAUGCAGCGCUUAGGGUUGCACAGCCGUCUUACCCGGGAUGAUAGUGACAGUACUGGGAGAAUAAGCACCGGCUAACUACGUG
rnacentral:rRNA from 1 species